AACGAACGCUGGCGGCAUGCCUAACACAUGCAAGUCGAACGAGACCUUCGGGUCUAGUGGCGCACGGGUGCGUAACGCGUGGGAACCUGCCCUUAGGUUCGGAAUAACUCCCCGAAAGGGGUGCUAAUACCGGAUAAUGUCUUCGGACCAAAGAUUUAUCGCCUUUGGAUGGGCCCGCGUUGGAUUAGCUAGUUGGUAGGGUAAAAGCCUACCAAGGCGACGAUCCAUAGCUGGUCUGAGAGGAUGAUCAGCCACACUGGGACUGAGACACGGCCCAGACUCCUACGGGAGGCAGCAGUGGAGAAUAUUGGACAAUGGGCGAAAGCCUGAUCCAGCAAUGCCGCGUGAGUGAUGAAGGCCUUAGGGUUGUAAAGCUCUUUUACCCGGGAUGAUAAUGACAGUACCGGGAGAAUAAGCUCCGGCUAACUCC
rnacentral:rRNA from 1 species